UAGCUCAGUUGGUAGAGCAGUUGACUUUUAAUCAAUUGGUCGCAGGUUCGAAUAUUUAACUCAGAUGCUGAACGUGAAGGAUAACGUUGCGACAGCAACGGCCCGAAGGGCGAGGCGAAGUCGAGUCAUCCUGCACGACCCACCA
rnacentral:tRNA from 1 species